rnacentral:rRNA from 1 species
AUUGAACGCUGGCGGCAUGCUUUACACAUGCAAGUCGAACGGCAGCGCGGGCUUCGGCCUGGCGGCGAGUGGCGAACGGGUGAGUAAUGCAUCGGAACGUGCCCAGUAGUGGGGGAUAGCCCGGCGAAACCCGGAUUAAUACCGCAUACGACCUGAGGGUGAAAGCGGGGGACCGAAAGGCCUCGCGCUAUUGGAGCGGCCGAUGUCGGAUUAGCUAGUUGGUGGGGUAAAGGCUUACCAAGGCGACGAUCCGUAGCUGGUCUGAGAGGACGACCAGCCACACUGGGACUGAGACACGGCCCAGACUCCUACGGGAGGCAGCAGUGGGGAAUUUUGGACAAUGGGGGCAACCCUGAUCCAGCCAUGCCGCGUGCGGGAAGAAGGCCUUCGGGUUGUAAACCGCUUUUGUUCGGGAAGAAAUCCUCUGGGCUAAUACCCCGGGGGGAUGACGGUACCGGAAGAAUAAGCACCGGCUAACUACGUG